CAAAAUCUUUAGACGACAAAA
rnacentral:piRNA from 1 species